UACGUAGGGGGGCAAGCGUUGUCCGGAAUUAUUGGGCGUAAAGAGCGCGUAGGCGGUCCGAUAAGUCGGCUGUGAAAGUCAGGGGCUCAACCCUUGGAAGCCGGCCGAUACUGUCGGACUAGAGUCCGGAAGAGGCGAGUGGAAUUCCCGGUGUAGCGGUGAAAUGCGCAGAUAUCGGGAGGAACACCAAUGGCGAAGGCAGCUCGCUGGGACGGUACUGACGCUUGAGACGCGAAAAGCGUGGGGGAGCAAAACAGGG
rnacentral:rRNA from 1 species